ACACGCACCUGGCAGGGGAGAGAUCACUAUCAAGAAGGGGUUUUCCCAAACUAGGUUUACUCUUUGCACUGGGUGUGCUGACCCCUGCGAUUUCCCGAAAUGUGGGGAGUAGCCUGCAUGGUCUGUAGUAGGCGGGACUGAGUUAGUGCUCUUCCCUG
rnacentral:snRNA from 10 species